UUCCUAAAAAAGUUUGUUUCAAAUCGAUAACAAUUUCACUUUAUUCCAUUUUACCGUGACACAACGUUAUUUUUUUGCUAUUGACAGGUGGACAAUGAUUUAAGGGCAACGGUAACUAAUUCUUCCUUCACUCUUUUCUUAUUGAGUAUGCUUCCUCUUUUCUUGAUGUCAUUAAGUAUUUCAAUUCACUAUAAAUGCGUAGGUUCAACUUCUUCAAAAAAGGAAUGUUGUUGCUAUUCAUGUUGAGCGAGAGCUGAAUGGUCAUGUGUGCUUAGAUUUGCUCUUACUUUCUCUAGCCCAUUUGCAGAAUGGAAAACAUGAGUUUUGGUUCUCGAUAGUUUUCAAUUAAAGCUCAGUCUUGCCAUUCUUAUGGUUCUUUCCACUUCUUGGAUUUCACAGUCAUAUGAGAUAAAACAAGUCUUGCCAUACCAUUAUCUAAUCUUUUAAUAAUGUCUUGCAUUACCAUUAUCAUUAGAGCCUCUGUUUUUAGUUGAUCCGUUUUAUUUUAUUCCAUCAGACGUUUAAUUAUUCAUUUUCACUUUAUUUCGUUUCAUUCCAUUUCAUUGCCUAAGAAGAGAUGAAGAGGUAGGGGAGUGUGAGGGGAGGGCUGUACAAAGUUUGUUUUUUUGGCUCAUUUUUUUGAUGUUGGUGUCGCAUAAUUUUGUUCUGACAGUUCAAUUUCAGUAAUUUCGGCAUUUUUUGGUUCUCUAACAUCGGGAUAUUGGAUAUUAGAUCUUUAAGGGGCCCAGGGCUCCGAUUUGGUAGGGGAGGAGCAUCGGGUGAUUCAAAUGGCGGCAAUCGGUACAAGGGGGUGCUUCAACCAUGGCCAAUAUUCCAAUCAGAAUGCUUAUGUCCUUUGAAAAUCUCCCACCUGUAGUACGUGAAGACACCCUUGCGGUUUACCCAUGAUCAGAGUUGUCAAAUGGAAGGACAUGAAGAUGACUCGGUGGAUCGAUGUCCAUCAUCAGCUUCACCGUAUAAAAGCUUCCUUUGUCGUUGCGCCAUGUUAAAUCGCAGACCCAAGAUUCAAGGUCUUGGGGAUGCGCUAUAAUAAUGGACGUUGGUAGUAUUUAAGGGUACCCAAAUCAAGGAGAGAGUAAAUUGUCCAUACCGUGUGGUAAUAUCUUCAGUAAGAAGCUUCUACUUUCUUUACCAGUGACGGCAAGGAUUUGUCUCAAUUUUAACCACCAAACAGGUAAUCCAAGUAGACCUAUUUUAUCCACAAGUUUGAUAUGUUGACUUUUUUGGGGUUAAAACUAGAUGGAAAUAUAUGUGAUUAUCUACUAUUUUAAGUCUUUCGGCUCCGGUUUUUACAUAAUUGUUUUAUGUUAUAAAUUUGAAGGUUCUUUGUUUGCGGCAUUUGGAGUGUUAAUUAAAAUCGUGGAAACGGGAAGUCAAACAAGUAGCGUGUGAUUGAAUGUUCAAUUAAGGCAUAAGGCAAGUAGUUAGGUGAUUUAACUGAAACCGACACGAACACACAACAUUGAUACUCCGAUAAAUUUUUUUUUCAAAAUAUUGGACACCGAUACUCUGGCUCGUAGAUUAUUCAUAAAUCCAAGGACACGACAUGACAAGUUAUCUCUACUCUUAAGUUAAGAAGCAUUGAGCUAACAAAGAGAAAAAUUAGGUGGCUCAUUCAGUGAAGGUCUAAUUGUCAUUCUGAUUUUGGUUUAUAGACUUCGAAAAUCUUUUGUUUUCCAAAUUUGCAAGUUCCAAGAUAAUAGUGAUCUCUAGAUGAACUCUUGGAUGGUCUACCAACGAUUCUCUAGAUUUCAAGGUUUACAAAAGAGAAGUCUUAUAGUGAAAAUUAUGAGUAGAAUCAUACCUUUAUUGGUAGAGCCAAAGAAUUCAUUACCUUUGUUUAAUUUGUCUUUACUUGAGUUAAGCUUUCACAAAUAAGCACGACCAUUAUGAGUUGACUGUAGAAGUUGAGGAAAAUUUAGGUUAAAAAUCUCUUACCUGCUGGUGUCAAUUUUGAAUCAUAAAGACAUACUGCUGCAAUGUUAUUUGGAAGCAUGGGCAACUUUGGGGCAUGGAUGGAUAAAAGAAUUGUGCAGUGAGGGUCUCCCAACGGGUAAGUUGUGGGACAUAGUAAUUGUCAUAGAUUAUGUUGGUAUUGAUGCUCUAUCUAGAUUCAAUGAUGCUAAUUCUGAAGUCCUUGCACUGGAAUCUCAACUAGUGGGUUCAUCCGGAUCCAAGCAAGUUGAAGCCAAGCAAAAAGGAACUGAGCUUGCUCAGUCUAAACUUGGGUUGGCCCUGCUUCAAUAUGAACUUCCUUCAAUGAUCUUGGUGCAUUGAUGCACCUCAUGGAAAAUCUUCUGGUGAAGAUAAGUAUAAUGAAGAAAGAAGGGAGUACAAAAUCAUGUUCUUGAGGUGCCUCAAUAUUAAUUUUGUUCUUCAGUCAUGAGGUUGGAUUAAUAUUUUGAUACAUCCCAUUUCAUUAGGAAGGUUUACUCCAUUAAUUGAAGUGCUUAAUUUUAUAUGUUUGCUUUGUUCCUCUUGGAGUAGACCUCUGUUGUGCGUUCCAUAAUUUCACGGUGUUUGUUUUGACAGUUGCAUGUAUUUUUACUUCACUAAAAAUCAGAUGGCAGAAUACAAAAGAUAGUAACUUUUAGAUUGUGAACUCCUAUAGUUUAUCACACGUUGCUAAGGACUCCCGAAGCCCUUUUUUUUUUUUUUUUUUUUUUGAAUACCCAAUUUUUAACCUUGCCUUUAGACACAGACAUGCGCAAUUGACAUCAAGUGAUUCAUUAGGAAGGUUUAUACCAUGAAAUAAAAUGGUUUAAUUUAUCUUUUUUGCUUUGUUCUUCCCCA